rnacentral:snoRNA from 1 species
AAACCAUGCAUAGGACAUUUUCUAUGUAAUUCCUUAAAUCUUUCCCAGGCUUCGUAAAUCAUUUCAUCCUUUGAUCGUUGAAAAGAUGCGAUAUCAUUUCUAAGCUU